UUACGGGAGGCAGCAGUGGGGAAUAUUGCGCAAUGGGGGAAACCCUGACGCAGCAACGCCGCGUGGAGGAAGAAGGUCUUCGGAUUGUAAACUCCUGUCUUCUGGGACGAAAAAUGACGGUACCAGAGGAGGAAGCCACGGCUAACUACGUGCCAGCAGCCGCGGUAAUACGUAGGUGGCGAGCGUUGUCCGGAAUUACUGGGCGUAAAGGGCGCGUAGGCGGCGUACUAAGUCAGAUGUGAAAACCCGGGGCUUAACUUCGGGCGUGCAUUUGAAACUGGGAUGCUAGAGUGCAGGAGAGGUAAGUGGAAUUCCUAGUGUAGCGGUGAAAUGCGUAGAUAUUAGGAGGAACACCAGUGGCGAAGGCGACUUACUGGACUGUAACUGACGCUGAGGCGCGAAAGCGUGGGGAGCAAACAGGAUUAGAUACCCCGGUAGA
rnacentral:rRNA from 1 species